rnacentral:rRNA from 1 species
CAGAGCCGCGGGAAUACGGAGGGUGCAAGCGUUAAUCGGAAUUACUGGGCGUAAAGCGCACGCAGGCGGUCUGACAAGUCAGAUGUGAAAUCCCCGGGCUUAACCUGGGAACUGCAUUUGAAACUGUCAGGCUGGAGUCUUGUAGAGGGGGGUGGAAUUCCAGGUGUAGCGGUGAAAUGCGUAGAGAUCUGGAGGAAUACCGGUGGCGAAGGCGGCCCCCUGGACAAAGACUGACGCUCAGGUGCGAAAGCGUGGGGAGCAAACAGGAUUAGAUACCCGAGUAGUCCCUGUCUCUUAUACA